rnacentral:rRNA from 1 species
ACGCUGACAGAAUGCUUAACACAUGCAAGUCUUUGGCGAAGCUGUGCUUGCACAGCCUAGCCAAGGCGGACGGGUGAGUAACGCGUAAGGAACUUGCCCUGCAGUCAGGGAUAACAGACGGAAACGACUGAUAAGACCUGGUAAAGUCAGGCGGACUCAUGUCCAGCCUGAUGAAAGGAGAUGCUGCAGGAGAGCCUUGCGUCCUAUUAGCUUGUUGGUGGGGUAACGGCCCACCAAGGCGAUGAUAGGUAGCCGGCCUGAGAGGGUGGACGGCCACAAGGGGACUGAGAUACGGCCCUUACUCCUACGGGAGGCAGCAGUGGGGAAUAUUGGACAAUGGGGGCAACCCUGAUCCAGCAAUUCUGUGUGCACGAUGAAGGUUUUCGGAUUGUAAAGUGCUUUCAGCAGGGAAGAAAAAAAUGACGGUACCUGCAGAAGAAGCGACGGCUAAAUACGUGCCAGCAGCCGCGGUAAUACGUAUGUCGCAAGCGUUAUCCGGAAUUAUUGGGCAUAAAGGGCAUCUAGGCGGCCAGAUAAGUCUGGGGUGAAAACUUGCGGCUCAACCGCAAGCCUGCCCUGGAAACUAUGUGGCUAGAGUACUGGAGAGGUGGACGGAACUGCACGAGUAGAGGUGAAAUUCGUAAAUAUGUGCAGGAAUGCCGAUGAUGAAGAUAGUUCACUGGACGGUAACUGACGCUGAAGUGCGAAAGCUAGGGGAGCAAACAGGAUUAGAUACCCUGGUAGUCCUAGCUGUAAACGAUGAUUACUGGGUGUGGGCAUGAAGAGUGUCCGUGCCGAAGCUAAUGCGAUAAGUAAUCCGCCUGGGGAGUACGGCCGCAAGGCUGAAACUCAAAGGAAUUGACGGGGACCCGCACAAGCGGUGGAGCAUGUGGUUUAAUUCGACGC